rnacentral:rRNA from 1 species
GGACUUAGCGGCGGACGGGUGAGUAACGCGUGGGAACAUACCCUUUGGUACGGAAUAGCCUCGGGAAACUGGGAGUAAUACCGCAUACGCCCUACGGGGGAAAGAGGGGGACCUUAUGGCCUCUUGCUAUUCGAUGAGCCCGCGUUAGAUUAGCUAGAUGGUGGGGUAAAGGCCCACCAUGGCGACGAUCUAUAGCUGGUCUGAGAGGAUGAUCAGCCACACUGGAACUGAGACACGGUCCAGACUCC